rnacentral:rRNA from 1 species
AAGUCGUAACAAGGUUUCCGUAGGUGAACCUGCGGAAGGAUCAUUACAAGUGAGGCUACCGAACGUUGGAAACAGCGGUUAGGAGCUUACACCCACCCGUGUUUACAUACUAUUGUUGCUUUGGCGGGCCGUGGCCUCCACUGCGGGCUCUGCUCGUGUGUGCCCGCCAGAGAACCAAACUCUGAAUGUUAGUGAUGUCUGAGUACUAUCUAAUAGUUAAAACUUUCAACAACGGAUCUCUUGGUUCUGGCAUCGAUGAAGAACGCAGCGAAAUGCGAUAAGUAAUGUGAAUUGCAGAAUUCAGUGAAUCAUCGAAUCUUUGAACGCACAUUGCGCCCUGUGGUAUUCCGCAGGGCAUGCCUGUUCGAGCGUCAUUUAACCACUCACGCCUAGCGUGGUAUUGGGGCACGCGGUCUCCGCGGCCCUCAAAAUUAGUGGCGGCGCCGGUGGGCUCUAAGCGUAGUACAUACUCCCGCUAUAGAGUUCCCCCGGUGGCUUGCCAGAACCCCCAAUUUUUACAGGUUGACCUCGGAUCAGGUAGGGAUACCCGCUGAACUUAA